CUUGAACGAGCCCAGCCACAGCGGGCGCUCCGGGGCCCGGUCGCGGCCGUAGGUGGCCAGGACGGCCUGGGCCUC
rnacentral:antisense_RNA from 1 species